GGCCAUAGCUUAGUGGCUAAGGCGUUUGACUGGGACUCAAAAGUUUGGUGCUUCAAGCCCCGGUGUAGCCC